CCUACGGGAGGCAGCAGUGAGGAAUAUUGGUCAAUGGACGCAAGCCUGAACCAGCCAUGCCGCGUGCAGGAAGACGGCCCUAUGGGUUGUAAACUUCUUUUGUAGGGGGGUAAAAGCAGAGACGCGUAUCUGUCUGAAAGUACCGUACGAAUAAGGAUCGGCUAACUCCUUGCCAGCAGCCGCGGUAAUACGGAGGGUUCAAGCGUUAUCCGGAUUUAUUGGGUUUAAAGGGUGCGUAGGCGGUCGGGUAAGUUAGAGGUGAAAUCCCCGGGCUUAACUCCGGAAUUGCCUUUGAUAUUGUCCGGCGAGAGGGUGGUAGCGGUAUGCGGAAUGUGUGGUGUAGCGGUGAAAUGCUUAGAGAUCUCGCAGAACACCGAUUGCGAAGGCAGCUCCCCGGCC
rnacentral:rRNA from 1 species